UGAAUAUAUGGAUAGCCGCUCC
rnacentral:misc_RNA from 1 species